AACCAACAGAACUCCUGAAUACAAGACCCAGAAAGAGGAGAGACACAGGUGAUGAUGAUGAUGGUGGUGGUGAUGAUGAUGAUGAUGAUGACCCGGCUGUUCUUCCUCGAAUCCCCAACCCCAUUGCUUGUUUAUCCUCCGGUGACAUGCUCAUUUUCCAUCUCACCAUCAACCACACUGACCGCCAUUUGAGUCACUUCCCAGUGUAUCAAAAAGACCACCUGUUUAAUAGUAACCCCAGCUGGGACUUUGGUGCCUUCAGACAUUUGCAGAUGCUCAUGAAACAGACAAACUUUAACUCCACAAGGUAGAGUUGAGUCCGUAUGCUGUAGGUAGAACCUCAAGUUGUUAAUAAUUCAAAUGACACUUUGUGAAAGAGUAUGUCUUCGCCACAAAUGUCUGUUCCUUUCGCAGGUUUGCCCACGUCUUUCCAGAAACAGGCAAGUAUGUGUUUGUGGACAGUGCUGUCCCAGAGUGGAGUAUGGUGGUGGUGGUCAGUGAGGAGGGGACAGAGUGCGAUCCCAGGGCAUCAGUGUUUCAGCCAAUGUCCCCGGCACAUUUGGUCAGAUACGGGAUUGUCAAGCAGCACAGACUCAACCUUCUGCCGGACUGGGAAUUGAUAGCUGGGGUCCUGAGUCUGCUGCUGGUUGUGGUUGUAGUUCUGACUACCACAAUGCUGGUCCUGCGACCCAGCAAAGCAAGGCUCGUCUCGCAGUGGAGGAUGAAGCCAAAGUGGCGCAGUCUCGGGGAGCCCUUCUGUCCAGUGGAGUGUGUUUGCAAUGGAGACAGCAUGGCGGUCCCGAGCAUGGGGUGCGUCCUAGGCAGUCGGGGUGUAGGAGAAGGUGCAGAGGCUGAGGAACCUGCUGUUUCAAAGGGAGGAAGUCUAUCUGGGCUCUGUGAUUUAGAGGAGUUCAAUGUGAAAACUCUGUACGACAAACUGGAGGAUCAGAACCUCCACAUAGCCUCACAGCUGGCUCGACACCGCAAAGACACGCAGGAGUUCUACAGAAACAUUUGUCAACAGACUGAAACACUCAAGAAUGUCUUUGAUAAUAUGGAUCAUAAAAAACUGAGUCUCCUCAAAGAGCUUCUUGCCCAUAAUGCAAUGAGGGAUAAACUUUCUGACAGCGGAGUGGGAGAGAGAGAUGCACAAGCUGAGGCCUCUGUAGCAUUACUGGGAACUGUCCUCAGGUCUGUGGAAGCUCUGUUGUGUAGGCUGACAGGAGAAGCUUGGCAGAACCAGGAUUUGACUGGCCUCCCAUACUGUCAUACUGGUCCUCAUGAUGCCAGGGACUGUGAGCCACAUGCUGGAUACACACAACGCGGCGACAUCAACAUGUGUUACACACAGUUUUCAUCGAUGAAUAUGACCAAAGUGGAAGCUCUUGCCCGUGAGCCAGUCCAUCUACAGAGUGCAGCCCCUUGUCUAAGUGACCAUGAUCUAUCCAAGCUGGUCAGCAUAUCUCCUCUUUUCAAGACCCUGCAUGAGAUCCAGCAGUCAUUACAAAGUCUCUCCACAGCUGAGCCUAGUCAGCGUCUCCACAAUGCUUCAGAGCGUUCUGUCCAGGAAAACCAUGAUGGGCAACUCAUCCCAACUGCACUGGACGACCUCUCACCUCCACACGCUGCUGUUUUCCUUUUCGGUUGCCAGGUGGUGCAGCUACUUGAAAAACGCCCCCUGUUCCCCUCCGUGCUUUUGCUAGUGGCCAAGUCAAUCCCUGUUUCUCCAUCCUCCUCUGAUGAGGCCAUGCUGGCCCAUUGCUCGGGGGACUUCCAUUUUGACGCGACCAAUCAAAUCCUUUAUCUGUCCGAGGCAAAGCUUCAGCACGUGGGGCAUUUUAUCGCCAUCGUCCUGCAGUCCAUGGCCCACAUAGCGUCAGGUCCCAAACCCCAGGGCUUUAUGCGAGCUCUCCAUGAGGCCGUUUCAGCUCUUAGCCUUCAGCUGUUCAAUUUCUCUUUCAAAUGGAGCACAGCAGAGUCAAAAUCCAAUGCUUCAGCGGGGCAGCAUGGUGAAUUGGUUAAAGAAUUUCUCAACACCAGAGUUCCCACUGAGGCACAUUUCACUGAGCACCUGUUAGCUAGCAGACUUGAGAAAUACAAGUAUUUCAAGCUGGAGCAGCUCGUCUCUGACCUCCGGUCAGCCGAGGACACAGGCACAGGUUUGCCACCAAAAGGGACACCGACACAGAUAUCCUGUGUAGAGGAAGAAAUCGACCGCCUGAACGAGUCUUUCUUGCAGCUCAGCAUGCAGCUUCAGAAGAGAGCCCAGAUGAGCAGCUGGCACAAGGAGAGAGAGAGGAGUGCUGGGAACCAUUCUGCGCGGGCUAUGUCGACAAGCAACAAGCCAAGCCUGAGUUGUAAUGGAACAGUGCUGCUGGACCUGAAGAGGCGCUAUGUAUUACAGCGUCUUCGUGAGCUCCAAAUCAUAUUAAGCCACACCAGACAGUGCCAGCGGCAUGGCAGCGAGUCAAAAGAUGGGACGGGAGGCCGUAAACACACAGACAGCAGCAGCAUUCAGCAGGGACAGAGGGAGCAUUACUCUACCGCUGACGGCUGCUGCCCCACUGUCGGCCGGCAGCAGGACGGUAUGCCAGCAGGCCAAAGUCGCCGCCAACAAACCGUACUGAGCGAAGUUCUUGGGAACCAUAAACUUGAGGGUCAUAUAUCUGACCAGCAGUGGAGUGACUCUGUCCAGAGCAACAAGCCUGAGACACGACUGGACUGCCAGAUGCCGGCGAGCCAAGGUCAGCUGCAUUUAAAUGUGCCAGGAAUACCAGAACCUAACGGUCAGAUCACAAUAGAAAAUACAACUGCACAUACAGAUACUGACAACAUGUGGGCCCCUGUCGAUCGGAAACUGGAUCUGAAUAUGGAUAAAUGCUAA
ensembl:lncRNA